UGUGUGUGUCUGUAUGUGUCUGUGUGCUUAAUUCAAGGCCUAUGAAAUAAUGGAAGGGCACUACAGGCAGAUUCUGAAAAGUGGGUCAUGAAGUUGGUGGGUGUGUGACCCCACAGGCCACACAUGUGAGGAGGGUGGAGAACACAAGGCCUCCUCAGCUCGUGCUGGAAAUUCUGUCUGACAGAGAAAAAGACAAACCUGUAACAAGCUUGUCUUUGAUGUCUGCUGUGGGACUUCCUUGGCCAGUGUUAUAGCUCCAGCCUGAGGCCGGAAAAUGCUGGAUGACAUGGGCCAAAAAUCUUGUGCCUUGCUAAGCACUGAGCAGUGAAGACAUAAAUCAUUGAGGAGACAUCAUAAGAAUGCAGCAAAGGACCCUGAAAAUGCCUACGCACCACACCUCAGGAUACUCUUCAGGACAUGAAUGCCAGUGACAAUGCUAGGACAGCACACUAAAUUUUAGUAAAUAACUGAGCUGGGCUUGUGGGCUGACCCCAUUGCAAGGCUCAUCAGAAUGGGUGAUGGUAGCCACAGCGUAGAAGAUGGCAGUUUUGCAACACCGUCCCUUUCAUCCUUCAAAGGCCACAUGCUUCUACAGGACAAUAUUAACCUCAGAACAGGGAGGAUCAAGAAGGGGAGCCUUUGCAAGGUCGUGAGCAACCAGGUCAUUCUACCACCAAGUUGGGUCUCUGUUUCAAUUUGAAACACUUAGGGCAGCUCACCUGAAAGAGAAGGGUGAGGUUCUGGAGAUCUUGGGAAUUGGGUUCUUUCACAGUAGGACACUGUGUCCAGAGUGAUGAAGGCAUGACGGGUGCAGCAGUGCAAUGUUGGGCAGCCUAUGCUGAGACCUGUGUGGGGAAGAGAGUGGCAGCUUAGAAAAAUUACAUGGCUUUGGCUAUACUGUUCAGUGGCAGCAUUCUCUACCUUAAGAUGUAUCUCCUGUGCCAGAAAACAAGAAUUGUUUGAUACUGAUAGUCUUAGCUGACCUGUAUCAGCCACUAUUUUAAAAAUGCAACAGAACAAACAUUUAUGUGCUGGGCAUAUGCCAUGGCCUUGUCACAUUUGCUUGGAUAAAGUAGCCUUUUCUGCUAAACAUUACCUUGAAUUGUAACCAUUUACUUUAUAUAAGCACUUCUCUUGACAUAAGACACACUAUCACACAUUGACCUGCAAAACAAUGGGAGAGAUGCACCAGGCAAAGUGCUAUGUGAAGGAAUAUGUGAUUUCCUACCCAUCACAUACACACAUAUGAAUCCAGGUCUGCUAGAAAAUCUGAAUCAGGUUUGUGUCUCCAGAAUGACUAGAAUGUCUGCUUUCAUUCUUUCUCAGUCUGUGUCAAACAAAAGUAUUUCUUUCAUCUAAAUAUCAUGUUUUCCUUGUCUAGCCUAGUAGUUUAUGCUCACUCUAUGUUAUAAACUACUUUUCUUCUGUGUUAGGGCUAAACUUACUCAAUGUUUAUAAAUGCCUUCCUUAAUGCAAAUGUAUUCUUGAAUUAAGACUGAACAGUGAUAAAAACUGAGUGCAUAAACAUUGAACACAAAGUCAACCUCAGAUAUUUAAAAAGCAUUCUUACAUCUUAUUUUUUGUAUAGCAUGCUAUUCCUGAUAGUCAAUGAAUCCCUAGCUUUAUCAUGGUUUAGCAGGUUGUGUCAGAAUAACCACUCCUUUCUUCCAAUCAAAAUUCUAGAUAAGAUGGAGACCUUUCUUGGAGGAGAUCCAAAUUUUUCAUAUAUGUAUAAAGCUAUGGUUUUGUUGAACAGACUGUUCAUAGGAGGAUUGUGUCCAGAAGAAAAGCAUGUCUUCCAGUACAACACUUUUUUCUAACAGUUUGAAGUCCCUUGACAAAUGUUUUAGCUAUGCAAAACUCCCAAAAGAGACACAGUUUAUUGUGCAAAGAGUACAACAUUUUGUGUAUGCUUAUUGCAAGAGUAAAUCAAAUGAUAUGUCAAACAAAUUCAUUGCUAUGGCAAUCACUGGCAGGGCAAGGCCAAUAUCAGGCAAGAGAAAAAAAAGAAUAUAAGCAACCCAUCUAACUGGCAAGUAUAACAAAUGGAGACUAGUAAAUUCUACAUUUUUCUGCCAGAACAAUUUCUUUUUCAGAAUGCUUAUUCAUAAACAGUAAUACAAAAUGUGUCAUGGAAUCGCUGAAACUGGAAAGGAGAUUUUCUACUUCAUCCUUCUGUGAGGAGCAAGGCCCAAAUGCAGGUUGCUCCGGGCCAUGUCCAGUCAGGUAUUAAACAGACUUAAGGAUGGAGAUUCCACAACCAACCUAGGUAACCCAUUCCAGUGUUCAAUCACCCUUAAAAAAAGAAAGUAUUUUUCCUUUGAAAUUCCGACAUUUCAAUUUAUGCCUUUCAUCCUUUCAUGUAGAUAUCACUAAGAAAAGUCUGGAUCUGGCUCCUGUAUUCUCUGACCCUAUUAGGCAUUUGCACACAUUGAUAAGGUGCUCCUAAACCUUCCCUUCUUUGGGCUAACAAGUCCUUGGUCUCAGCCUCUCCUUUUAUGAGAGAUUCUCCAGUGUCUAAUACACCUCUCAUAAUUAUGGGAGAAAAAUAUUUUAAAAUAAUAUUGCAUACAUAUUUAUUCCUUUGGCAAAUAUUGUCAUAAUUCAUAUUGGGAAAUAUUUAUAUAUACUUUAUAGCUGAAAGUAGUUUUUCCUUUGUUCUUUAGCACGUUUACCCAAAUUCUGGCAUAGCUUUUUCCAGAAGAUUUUUUAUUGUUUUAUAAAUCAUGCCUCUGAACCUACU